rfam:Loxodonta africana unplaced genomic scaffold scaffold_43, whole genome shotgun sequence.
GCAGUGGUGGUUCAGUGGUAGAAUUCUCACCUUUCAUGAGAGAGACCCUGGUUCGAUUCCUAGUCUAUGUA